GACGUAGGGCGCGAGCGUUGUCCGGAUUUAUUGGGCGUAAAGAGCUCGUAGGCGGCUUGUCGCGUCGACUGUGAAAUCCCGCGGCUCAACUGCGGGUCUGCAGUCGAUACGGGCAGACUAGAGUUCGGUAGGGGAGCUGGAAUUCCUGGUGUAGCGGUGAAAUGCGCAGAUAUCAGGAGGAACACCGGUGGCGAAGGCGGGACUCUGGGCCGAUACUGACGCUGAGGAGCGAAAGCGUGGGGAGCAAACAGG
rnacentral:rRNA from 1 species